GAAACGGACUUAGAAAUGAUAAAAAUCCGGGAGCGAUGAGUGAAGUCUCGCAAAAUGCUCGCAGACGGACUUAGAAAAGAGCAUUUACCGGACAAAAACCGAGUGACGACAAAGUCUCGCAAAACUAUCACAAACGGACUUAAAAACGGGUGAAAAAUGGACAGAAAAGUGAAACAUAACGGAAAAAAUAGCUAGGUACGGGUGAAGUCUCACAAAAUGCUCGCAGACGGACUCAGAAAAGAGCAUUUACCGGACGAAAACCGUGCGACGACCAAAGUCUCGCAAAACUAUCACAAACGGACUUAAAAACGGGCACAAUACGCAAGAAACGCCGGAUCACGUAAUAGAACAUGAACGAACAUGUCAAACUGCGGCCCGGCACAACGCCGCCGUUUUUUCGUUUUGUGUUAUUUUGUGAUUAAAAACCGCAGCAGAAGGACGUAAACGGGAAGUUAAAUCAUAAAAAUAGUGAAAAAAAGGAAAAAUCGCCAUCUUCUUGUGCAUCAGGCGACCUGCGUCAACGAAUAUGUACAUAUAACAAUUUUCGCUGGAACUGACUUUGCGCACCAUUUUUUGUGUUACUUGCUGGUUACUCUAGCCAUCCGUACGGGAUUUAAGGAAAGAUUUUCAUUAGAAGACGCCGAUUUCGACCGAGUAACGCAAAAAUUUUUCCAAUAUGCCCAGGACAGAGUGUCGAAGGAAAAAAAACAAAUUAAAUUUAAUUCACUAAUAUAAUUUUUUAAUCUAUUUAUGUAAAACCAAAAU